GUGAGGCGUGUGAUGGGAAACCUUCCCGCACGGUUCGGAGAGCACUGAAUUAGAAUGAGAGGUUUACCACCACAUCAUUGCAUGCAAGGGGAGCUCGCUCGAUUCGCAGAUUGGUCCGACUCGUAAUUCACUUUUGACUCGUGU
rfam:Ipomoea nil DNA, scaffold: scaffold0216, cultivar: Tokyo-kokei standard.